rnacentral:rRNA from 1 species
UACAUGGGGUGCAAACGUUGCUCGGAAUUAUUGGGCGUAAAGCGCACGUAGGCGGUUCGUUAAGUCGGAUGUGAAAGCCCUCGGCUCAACUGAGGAAGUGCACCCGAAACUGGCGAGCUUGAGUACGAAAGAGGAUCGCGGAAUUCCCGGUGUAGAGGUGAAAUUCGUAGAUAUCGGGGAGGAACACCGGGUGGCGAAGGCGGCGAUCUGGGUCGAUACUGACGCUGAGGUGCGAAAGCGUGGGGAGCAACAGG